rnacentral:rRNA from 1 species
AACACGUGUGUAACCUGCCUUUGGGAGGGGGAUAACACCCCGAAAGAGGUGCUAAUACCCCAUAGAGUUAUCUGGUAUAAGUCAAGUAAUGAAAGGUGGCCUCUGCUUGCAAGCUACCGCCCAGAGAUGGGCACGCGGCCUAUUAGCUAGUUGGUGAGGUAACGGCUUACCAAGGCAACGAUGGGUAGCUGGCCUGAGAGGGUGGCCGGCCACACUGGGACUGAGACACGGCCCAG